AGGGGAGUGGCUCAAUGGUAGAGCAACGGUCUCCAAAACCGUGGGUUGCGGGUUCGAAUCCUGUCUCCCCUGCCA
rnacentral:tRNA from 3 species